GUGAGUUUAACACUUCAUCACUGACACACACAACAAUCUUCAUCAACAUGACCUUCAUCAUCAUCUUCACCUGGACUCUUUUAUACUGCUUUAUACUACAAGGGUGUAAAGCUCAGAUCACAGUCACUCAGACUCCAGAGAAAACUGUCACACCAGGAGAAAAUGUUGUGAUGAACUGUAAAUUUAGUUCUGCUCCAUCCUAUGUGUCCUGGUACUUACAGAAACCUGGAGAAGCUCCUAAACUCCUGAUUUAUUAUACAAACACUCUCCAGUCAGGAACUCCAUCUAGAUUCAGUGGCAGUGGAUCUGGAACUGAUUUCACUCUGACCAUCAGUGGAGUCCAGACUGAAGAUGCUGGACAUUAUUACUGUCAGAGUGCUUACUCUAUCAGUAGUAGCUGGGUGUUCACACAGUGAUAAAGAGUGGUACAAAAACCUCGGUCAGUCAGAGUCACAGUGACUGAACUGAUGCUGCAGCUGAUCAAACACUAUCACUCACUAC